GACAGAGGAUGCAAGCGUUGCCCGGAAUUAUUGGGCGUAAAGAGCUCGUAGGCGGUCUGUCACGUCGGCUGUGAAAUCCCGAGGCUCAACCUCGGGUCUGUAGUCGAUACGGGCAAACUAGAGUAUUGCAGGGGAGACUGGAAUUCCUGGUGUAGCGGUGAAAUGCGCAGAUAUCAGGAGGAACACCGGUGGCGAAGGCGGGUCUCUGGGCAAUAACUGACGCUGAGGAGCGAAAGCGUGGGGAGCGAACAGG
rnacentral:rRNA from 1 species